GGGGUAAAUGGACGGUCAUGAAGGUCCAUUGCCUGGAUUGGUGCCCUCCAUUGCACGCGAAGGAGGGGUGCCCGUCCAAGGUCUGCCCGUAGUGGCAGAGCCUACGUCAUAAUUUGUGGUAGUGGGGGCCUGCGUUCGCGCGGCCCCUUCCAAUGCCCUCAGUCCCUACGUAUUUCUUUUUACUAUGAUACAGCUUAAGACGCCUUUGGCAGUCUCCAGUUGGUAGGUGCGGUCGGCACUUAUGAGAGAGCGAAGGUUGUUAAUGGGAAGACUUAGAUCAACCUGUGAACUCUCACAAUCGAUGAUCGGAGCAUUAAGAAGUUAUGUUGCUGCAAGGGGCCAUAUCCCUGUCAUUUUCCUAUCUUGUAUUUGUAAACAUUUUCUUUAUAACUCCCAUGAUUUGAAACCUCAAAAAACAGUCAUUGCAAUACCCUCUUUGGAAUAGGAAAAAAAUCUUCAAUAGAGUAUUUUCUAAAUCACAGGUACUCGACUCUACAAAUUUCUUUUGUUUUAAGUUAGAAUAAGUGAAACAAUUGAGCCAUCUGCUGAAAUACAUAUUGAAUUCCGUUGGCAAGGCUGGAUCGAUUUUGAACCCAAACAACAAUAAUUUCAAAACAAAGAGGGACCCAAGCUGUAUCCAUGUAUUUGAUAUUAUUAUAGACUGUAGCAGGAGCCACAAAGAAUGGUCUGAUUUAUAUAAAAUAAAAAUUGGAGGUUUUGUAAUUUUAAUUAAAUUUAAUGCAAAAGAUAAGAAGAUAAACCAAAUAGAUUUCAAUUAAUUUUCUUUAUAUUCCUUCCUAAAUUAAUUAUUGUGGGUUCGGUAGCCCUUAACAACCCAUCUCUUCUAACUUUAGAGAAGCUAAUUUUAAUUCACCAUAUGCAAUAUUAAUAUUAAUAUUAAAGCACAACUUUCAACUGCUUUCACCAUAAUCACCCUACUCAUAACUAAGACCAUCCUUCAAAUGAUGCUCAUGCCAUUAACAUAUGUCCAACCUAAACCAACUCUAACUCAAUAGCAGAUACAACCUUUAUUAUUAUUGCAAAAGUCAAUUAACCUACUCAACCAAGAUCUAACUAAAAAUAAAUGAAGGAAGAAAGAAGCAGUCAUAGAACCAUUAUCUAAAGGCCGAUGUAGAUUGACUUACUAUCUACUUAAAAACAACACUUUUAAAUCUUCAUAUCGAUUUCAUAGAAAAUCGGGUUUGGUCUAGCAUUAUGAAUCAGGAUGAUCCUUCAAAUGUGGAAGAUCAUUCUACCGAGUGCAUAUCAUGUUUAGAAUCACAAAUCUCUACAAUGGUAUGAUAUUGUCCACUUUGAGCAUAAACUCUCGCAGCUUUACUUUGGUGUCUCAUACUAAUGGAGAUAAUAUUCCUCACUUAUAAACCUAUGAUUAUCUCCUAAAUUAGCCUUGUGCUCAAAAUGGAUAAUAUCAUAUCAUUGUGGAGAGUCGGUGAUUUCUAACAUGCAUAUCAAUUAUCAAAUUAGUAAUACCCAAUUCUAGAAAUCUAAAUUCCAUCUAUAAGACCCAUCUAGAAACGAUAAAAAUGCUAAAACUUGGUAUUCAUUCCUUGAAAAUCUUGGCAGCAUCUUAAUAUAUAGUUUGAGCAUCUUAUAAAGA